AAUUCUAGACCUGUGGACCAGAUGGUGGGUAAGGUCUUUUCUAGUUUUAUGACCUAUGCCACCCUGACACCAGAAAAUAGCACUGAAUGAUGCUGACAGAUGUGAAAGUAGAGCAACUUGCAUAGUCAUAAUUAGCUGUGCAUUAUUAGAAAAGCUUUAAGUGCUGAAAAAACUAACUUGCUUUAAGUCAUGCUACUUCUAAAAAACAAAUAAAUUUCAGUGUGAUUAGAAUUAAAUCUAGGAGUAAUAGAUGGCUUUUCACAAGCUUUUAAACAUACACACACAAAAAGUAGUGCUUUGAGAAAAAUGUCAAUGAGAUAACACUAGCCUCUAGGAUCAUUUAUCAUCUUCAGCACAGCUAGAUAGAGACCUCACAGACAGUGCUUCCCUUAAUGGCCACUCAGCAGGGUCUCGAUCCAUCUGUUUCCAUUAAAAGGAAGAGGAAGUGUUUUAUUUAUAGAAUGAC